UUGUUGCUUCUUCCUUUUUCAAGAAUGGUGCUCGUGAUUCUAAUUUUUUUUUUAGUAUGGAUAAUAAUGGUCAAGAAAAUUCAAGUUCAUCAAAUAAUGAGCAAAUAAAAAAGUUUUAUGAUGAAUUUGAUGAGGAGGAAGGUGAAUGUUUGGUUGAAAAAUGUGAAUUGGAUAAUUAUCUUGAAGAAGUUCGAGAGAAAAGGGUUGAAGGGGAUAUGUUUGAUAUUUUGCAAUGGUGGAAGGAAAAAAGUGAGAAAUACAAAGUAUUAGCAACAAUGGCUAAGGAUAUUUUGGCUAUACCAGUUUCUACGGUUUCUAGUGAGUCCGCAUUUAGUACAUCGGGUCGUAACCUUGAUCAAUUUCGUAGUAGUUUGGGGUCCAAAACUGUGGAGGCUUUAGUUUAAGCUCAAGAUUGGCUAAGAGCAUCAAUAUAAGUGUAGACAUUGAGCGCUUUCUAGAGGAUGUUGAAAAAUAUGAAGAAGGUAUUGCCAUGUAUCUUAGAUGUUUUAAUUUAUCUCUUAAAUGAUUAAAUCUCUUACUAAUCGUGUGUAUAAUUUUUAUUUUUACAGAGUUGGAUAAUAGUGGGCUUACACAAGUUGAUGAUAUUUUAGGAAACAAUUGAUGGAGUUAGAAUAAUGUGGUUUAUGCUUGGAUCCAUCAUUGGAUUAAUCAAAUGGCUUGGAGCUUGUAUUAUUACUUUUGUAUUGUGUAGUGGACUUUUAUAUUAGUUGGUUUGUAUAAACUUUUAAUUUUAUGGAACUUUUUCCAGGAACUUUUAAUUUGUAAUUUAUAUGUAUUUUUAGCUUUAAUGUGUACUCCUAUUAAUAAUUAUGUGUAUAAUAUUGUGUGUUAUAAAUUAAGAUUGUACAGGUUGCGGGUUUUA